GAAGUUUACAAAGAUAUUCAUUCACAUUCAAACAGUUGAGGGGGGCGAUUUUUCGAUUCCCAGUAUUUUGUCGGGGAAGCGUCGCUUUCAUCAUCUCACUUGUCAAUUUUUCAUUUUUGCCCCUCUUUUUAUUUUGUUGUUUCUGAAAGACCCCCAAUUUUUUCCGUGUUUUGGGGUUUUCAGCAUUCUAGAAUUGGAAGAAAGCUUCCAUUUUAGUGGCGGUCAUCAAAAUCUGGCUGCGUCUCUCUCCAAUUUAGCUGAUUGUAGCUUUUUUUUUUUUUUUUUUUUUCUGUGGAAAAGUUUGACGAAUUAAUUGUGAUCUCAGUGGUUUUUUAUGAUCUCGGUGUUCGAGAUUUCUCUGUGAGAUUUGGAAAUUGGUUACUGGGGUUUUAUGCAUGAAUUGAAUUUGGGGGAGGUACAGUAAAUUUUUUUUCUCCAUUUUUUUGAUUGAUGACUCAGUGAGUAGGUUGAUUGAUUUGAUGAAGAACUCAGUGGGUUUAGGGUUAUGUGAUAAAUCGAAAUUGAAGUAUAAUUGGUAGGAAAUGUUGUGGGUAGAUUUGAUUUAGAGAGGCUGUAGUGAGUGAGAUGUCAUCUGCAUCUCCAUCCCCAAAUUCUCCUCCGGUAGCUGCCGCUCCGCCACCUCAGCCUUCUCCUUCUCCGCCGGCGAAUUCUUCCCCACCGCCUCAAUCGAAUUCACCUCCUCCACAAACUCCUAUUGCACCACCACCUCAGCCCAAUUCACCUCCGCCCCAACCCAAUUCUCCUCCACCGGACCCCCNNN
rnacentral:lncRNA from 1 species